rnacentral:rRNA from 1 species
UACAGAGGGGGCAAGCGUUAUUCGGAAUUAUUGGGCGUAAAGGGCGCGUAGGCGGCUUGGCAAGUGGAAGGUGAAAGCCCUGGGCUCAACCUAGGAAGUGCACUCGAAACUGCUUCGCUUGAGUAUCGGAGAGGAAAGCGGAAUUCUCGGUGUAGAGGUGAAAUUCGUAGAUAUCGAGAGGAACACCAGUGGCGAAGGCGGCUUUCUGGACGAUCACUGACGCUGAGACGCGAAAGCGUGGGGAGCAAACAGG